rnacentral:lncRNA from 1 species
CUUAUUUUCUGAAUAAUGCUGUAAAUGGGAAAGGACAUGGUGAGGGGAGAACGGAACCUCACGGGCAUGGCCUGGGCUACAUUUGUUUCUUAUAGCCUCAUGCUUUGUAUCUCCUAAGGACAUAAAACUAUUAGAGAGUGUCCAAGGGAGGGCUAUGAAGAUGGUGAAGGGUCUGGAGGGCAAGACACAUGUGGGUGGCUGAGGUCCCUGGGUUUGCUCAGCCCCGAGCAGAGCAGGCUGAGGAGAGGCCUCAUGGCGGCCUGCAGCUCCCUCACGAGGGGAGCGGAGGGGCAGGCGCUGAGCUCUGCUCUCUGGGGACAGCGACAGGACCCGAGGGGACGGCAUGGAGCUGGGACAGGGGAGGGUCAGGCUGGGGUUAGGGAAAGGGUCUGCACCCAGAGGGUGCUCGGGCACUGGGACAGGAUCCCCAGGGAUGCGGUCAUGGCACCGAGCUGCCAGAGUUCAAGAAGCACUUGGACAACACUCUCAGACAUAGGGUCUGAUUUUUGGGUGGAGCCAGGAGGUGGUCUCGGUGAUCCUUGUGGGUCCUUUCCCACUCGUGACAUUCUGUGAUUCUGUGACCCCCAGCACCCCACUGGGCAAUGUGCCGGGCUUUAACUCUGUUACACUGUAUGACGUACAAACGGGAUUUAAGAAAAGCUCUUAAAAUAUGUGGUGGGCACCAGGCAUCCCGUGUCCGCCUCCCAGACGCAGCCAUUUAUUUCACCUUCCCCCCGCGGCUGCUGGCGGGGCUGACAGCGGGGCGAGCCCCAGCCCCUGCCCUGCUUGGCUGCGGCUCCCUCGGCCACCUCGGGGGCAAACCGGAGGCGAAGAGGUGUGUGUUUGUGCAUGUAUGGUGUACGUGGGGUGUGUUUGUGUGUGUGUAUUUGUGUAUUUGUGCCCCGUGUGCGUGGCGGGCGGGGCACAGCCGCCUCCCCGCCGCGGGGUGGGGGGAUCGCAGCCAGCUCCCUGCCAGCGCCCCGCUCCCAGCCGCCGCAUGGGUUUUUUACCUUGGUAAAGGUAUAUUGUGCAAAUAUUAG